rnacentral:tRNA from 1 species
AGGCCCGCGGCUCAGCCUGGACAGAGCGGCGUCGUGGGUUCAAAUCCCACCGGGCCCG